rnacentral:rRNA from 1 species
UCCGUAGGGGGAACCUGCGGAGGGAUCAUUACUGAGUUUACGCUCUAUAACCCUUUGUGAACAUACCUAUAACUGUUGCUUCGGCGGGUAGGGUCUCCGCGACCCUCCCGGCCUCCCGCCUCCGGGCGGGUCGGCGCCCGCCGGAGGAUAACCAAACUCUGAUUUAACGACGUUUCUUCUGAGUGGUACAAGCAAAUAAUCAAAACUUUUAACAACGGAUCUCUUGGUUCUGGCAUCGAUGAAGAACGCAGCGAAAUGCGAUAAGUAAUGUGAAUUGCAGAAUUCAGUGAAUCAUCGAAUCUUUGAACGCACAUUGCGCCCGCCAGCAUUCUGGCGGGCAUGCCUGUUCGAGCGUCAUUUCAACCCUCAAGCUCUGCUUGGUGUUGGGGCCCUACAGCUGAUGUAGGCCCUCAAAGGUAGUGGCGGACCCUCCCGGAGCCUCCUUUGCGUAGUAACUUUACGUCUCGCACUGGGAUCCGGAGGGACUCUUGCCGUAAAACCCCCCAAUUUUCCAAAGGUUGACCUCGGAUCCAG